rnacentral:rRNA from 1 species
GACGAACGCUGGCGGCGUGCUUAACACAUGCAAGUCGAACGGAAAGGCCCUGCUUUUGUGGGGUGCUCGAGUGGCGAACGGGUGAGUAACACGUGAGUAACCUGCCCUUGACUUUGGGAUAACUUCAGGAAACUGGGGCUAAUACCGGAUAGGAGCUCCUGCUGCAUGGUGGGGGUUGGAAAGUUUCGGCGGUUGGGGAUGGACUCGCGGCUUAUCAGCUUGUUGGUGGGGUAGUGGCUUACCAAGGCUUUGACGGGUAGCCGGCCUGAGAGGGUGACCGGCCACAUUGGGACUGAGAUACGGCCCAGACUCCUACGGGAGGCAGCAGUGGGGAAUAUUGCACAAUGGGCGGAAGCCUGAUGAAGAAACGCCGCGUGCGGGAUGACGGCCUUCGGGUUGUAAACAGCUGUCGCCUGUGACGAAGCGUGAGUGACGGUAAUGGGUAAAGAAGCACCGGCUAACUACGUG